UUUUAUUCAGUCUUCCCUUGCGGCUGUGAACCUGUCACAUACUUGCUGGUCUCUGUAAGUGCCUAGAUGACAUCGGCAACCAGCACCUCCCACCAAUGCACGCCCAGUCCUUCUCAGUGGCUGCUGCUCUACG